rnacentral:rRNA from 1 species
GGACGAACGCUGGCGGCGUGCUUAACACAUGCAAGUCGAGCGAUGAAGCUUCUUCGGGAGUGGAUUAGCGGCGGACGGGUGAGUAACACGUGGGUAACCUGCCUCAUAGAGGGGAAUAGCCUUUCGAAAGGAAGAUUAAUACCGCAUAAGAUUGUAGUACCGCAUGGUACAGCAAUUAAAGGAGUAAUCCGCUAUGAGAUGGACCCGCGUCGCAUUAGCUAGUUGGUGAGGUAACGGCUCACCAAGGCGACGAUGCGUAGCCGACCUGAGAGGGUGAUCGGCCACAUUGGGACUGAGACACGGCCCAGACUCCUACGGGAGGCAGCAGUGGGGAAUAUUGCACAAUGGGGGAAACCCUGAUGCAGCAACGCCGCGUGAGUGAUGACGGCCUUCGGGUUGUAAAACUCUGUCUUUGGGGACGAUAGUGACGGUACCCAAGGAGGAAGCCACGGCUAACUACGUGCCAGCCGCUGC